rnacentral:lncRNA from 1 species
GGUGACGAUGAUCAUAUCAUGAUGGUGACGAUGGUGAUGAUGAAAAUGUGGGCUGGAAGCAUAGCUAUAUGGGUUCUGGAUUCAACUACUAGUGCAACAAUGGACAACUGAAACUUUCAGAGCCUCAGCUUCCUUAUCUGCAAGGUAAAAAUAAUAAAGGUGCUUAUUCAUAGGACUGUGGUGAGGAGCGAAUGAGGUCCCAUAUAUAGUAUAUAUUUUUUGGUACAGGAGUCUUGCAUGUAGAAUGUGUUCAGUUAAUGUUGGCUAUUAUUUUUGUUAUAAUUAUUAGGAAGCAGGGAAAGGAUAUAGACAGAGAAGAGGAAGGUCUCCCCAAAACCUGAACUCUACUUAAAACUCAGUUUU